rnacentral:lncRNA from 1 species
UUGCCUAUUUAUAUGUUUUGCUGCCCCAGCUUGGCUUAGUCAAACAAAAUGGCUAGAUGUAAUUAUCCAUUUUUAAUAACCACAUAAUAUUUCAAAAUAAAUAUAUUUCAUAAUUUAUUCAGUGGUUGCCAUGUUACCAGAUAUUCAGAAUGGUUCUAGUCUUUUGCUCUAACUACUAAUGCUACAUUAAGUGUCCUUAUAAAUAGAUCCCUACCAAGAGAUGUUUAUAGUACAUUAGUAGAAAUUUCUAAAUGUAUUGCUGAGCCAAAAUACUGACAUCUCUGCGUACUUUUGAUUUUAAUAAGUACUGACGGCUAACUUUUCUUUAAAAAAUAUUCAAACUCACAUACACCAUCAGUAUGAGAACAUGCCAGACUCACAUUCUUGCCAGCCUUGCUGUUAUCAGCUUUGGACUAGGCAUGCAUGCCCUGGAGUCAGAAUGCCUUGGAGCAAAGCUCAUUUCCACUAUUUACUACAUAUUUAUAUAUUUUUUGAUCAGUGUUAAAUUUAUAAACUAGAUACACACUCCCUAAGAGGUAGAAUCGUAUCUAUUUUUCUCUUCAUUGUAUUCUCUGUGCCCAGAAACUAUGUCUUGAACAUAAUGUCCAAAUGUGAUGUGUUAUUUUCAAUAGUAGGAACUUUCUGUGUAUCACUGAUAUUAAACCUUUCUUUUUUUGUUCAAGUUACAAAUAUUUUCCUAUGUUAUCUUUGUCUUAAAGACGCUUUAUUGAAUCAAAUAUUCAACAGUCUUUCCAUUAUCAUUUCUGCAUUUAUCUUGUUCUCUUCUCCUAUAGGGUUUUUAAAAUGUUAUCCAAAAUAGUUUUCUAACAUUUUUUAUAAAAUUUUAUUUUUUUAUAAAAUUUUAACAUUUUUUAUAAAAUUUUCUGUCUGCCUCAGUCAGAAGAGCACGCGAUUCUUGAUCUCAGGGUCAUGAGUUCAAGCCCCACAUUGGGUGUAGUGGUGACAAAAAAAAAUUUUUAAAUAACAAAAUUUAAUAGACAAGUAUGUCAAGAACAUGUGGUAAAUAAGCCAGUAUUUCUUUACUAGACUGUAAUUCUACUUUUAUCAUAAAUGGAGUUUCCCACAUAGAUUUGAAUUUAAAUUUGGAGUGUUUAAUCUAAACCAUUCAUCUAUUUAGCAUAUUCUUGUUUCAAAAAAAAAACUGUUGAAUUCAAAUAUAUUAUUCUUGCUGAAUCAGGAGUUCCUUAAUGUGUGCACAAUUAUAUUUACUAUUUAAUGUAAUACAUGAUUUUAACAUAUAUCAGUUGUAUAUCUAUAUGACCACUGUAUUUGGUUAUCUUUCCCACUAGAUUGUAAGAUCAUUGAGAACUAGAAACAGGAUGUUCAUUCUGUAUCUUCACUGUGUAGUGCACUGCAUGUUAUGUUAUACUUAAAAAUGUUUUAUGAAUAAAUAAUAAUUGAAUGCACAUGCAAAUUCCUAAGUUCUAAAUGUGAUACCGGACAUUAAAGUCAUCAUACCACUGACAUUUCAUUCCUUUAGAUGGAAGAGGUAACUGGCAAAACAAUUUUAUGGGGUUAUGUGACUGUUUAUUAUAUAGUUUAGUGUAUGUUUACUGACAUUGAUACAAUAUGUGCCAUGACUGUGCAUGUGAAUAUGACUGAUGAAAAGGACAGCAAAUCCAUAAUAAACAGAGACACUAUAAUUCUGUGUCCAGAAAAUUCUUCUCCUCCAAAGAUUCAAGAUUCAGAGCUUCUAAAAUCCCCUUCUUUUAGUUCCCAAACAUUCUCCAUUGUCUACAGAUUCUAUGACACAACCCUUCUUGUGAACAGAGAGAUUACAUGUUUUUAGACCAUCAACACCCAACUACAUUUUCUCUUCGAGCAUCAGGAGAACUCUAAUUGUAUUGAAAAAGGAGGAUUCUGGUCCCAAAAUAAUUACACAUAGGAAGCAUUUUCCAUGGGGAUAGAUGCUAACACCAUUUGUCUAGUCUAAAAAUCUCUGGGGUCCCACUUUCCAGAAAGGACAAACAUUACACAUGUAUUUUUUUUAGUCAUACAUCUUUGGUCUUGAAACAAAACAAUAACCAUUUUAUUAUAUUAAUGGAUUCUGUGUAUCAAAAAUUGGGAUUUUUCCGUGGGAAUGCCUGUCUUUGUUCCACAGUAUCAGGAGCCUCAGCUGGGAAGACUUGAAGCCUGGAAGUAAGUUGAUGACUGGAGGCUGGAAUCAUUUGAAGCCUAUUCACUCAUGUCUGGUGGUUGAUGCUGGCUUUCUUUCAGCUGAGAUCUUAGCUGGGACUCUAUGAUACAUGAAAUCUCUCCAAGUAACUGUUGGGCUUCUCUCUACAGCAGCAUGAGAGCAUGGGUAGAAAGAGCAAGUAUCCCCAGUCUACAGGGCAAAAAUGCAUUGCACUUAUGCAUCUACCUUCACAAGACAUAUAAAGUCAUUUCUGUACUCUCUUGGCUAGUAUAGUCACAAAGUACCACCCAGGUUCAUGUUGAAGGGGCAUAGAUCUAACACUAAAUGAAAGAAAUGACAAGGAUACAUUACAAAAACAUGUGGGAUGAAAGACAUGAUCGUGGCCAUUCCUGGAAUAUACAAUCUCCCAUGGUAUUACUACUCUGAAUUUGGUAUUUAACAUUUCCAUGUAUUUUCUCAAAAUUUAGUAUAUAUGCAUAGAGAAAUGAAAAUAUAAUACUUUUUGUGUCUUAAAAAUUUUUAUUUCACAAGCCGUGUUUUCCCCCUCAAUGUUAUUUUUAAGAUUGAUGCAGAUUGAUAUUAUGGCUCUAGCUCUUUCAUUUUAACUUUGAUAUGACAUCGUUUUGUAUAAGAAUGCCAGAAUUUAUUUAUUCCUACUCCUGCUUCUCUAUCUUAAAGUCCCAGCAAAAGAGAAUUUUCAGCACUCUUCAACACUGCCUGCAAUGAUGGCAUGGUACUCAAAGCGUUAAUUGUAAGUUGCUGUAAUAUGAUAACAGAAAAAAAUUGAAACAAUUUCAACCUCAAAAGUCCAGGUGAGGGGCACUUAGGUGGCUUAGUGGUUGAGUGUCUGCCUUCAGCUCAGGGUAUGAUCCUGGGAUCCUAGGAUUGAGUCCCACGUCAGGCUCCCCAUAGUGAGCCUGCUUGUCCCUCUACCUAUGUCUCUGCCUCUUUCUCUGUGUCUCUCAUGAACAAAUAAAUAAAAAUCUUUAAAAAAAUAAGUUCAGGUGAAUGUUGAACUUAUAAAUCCAAAACUGUUUUCUAAAAUUUUAAUAUGUAACACUUGUAAUGUCAUUAUAAAAUAACAAUGUUAAAUGAAUGAAUCAAUCAACCAGUCUCCUGAUGAUCAGCCAGGCAGUCAGUGAAUUCAAGGUUCUUCAUUAUCUGGAGACAAACUUUCCAACUUGACUUAUCACACUUCUUCCUCUGCUAAUAUUAGUGCCUCCCCUUGGAAUGCCUUCUAUUCCAAUCCAUUCCAAUUUCUGUCAGUUACAAACCUUUCCAUCCUUCAAGCUGCAUCUGAAAGUCAGUCUGGCAAAGUGACAAAGGCUCAGGCUCCCGAUUUAGACAAAUCUAGACUUAAAUAACCUGUUCAGCCACUUACAAACUUUAUAAAUUUAAAAAUGUUUUCUAGACUUCAGGGUUUUUUGCCCAUAAAAUACAGAUAAUAAUCUUAUUAACUUGGUAGACUUGUUUUAAAAAUUAAAAGAUAUAAUACAUAAAAAUGCUUAUUAAUGGUAGGUUUUCAAUAGAUAUUAGUUGAAUGGCAUUUCCUUCAUGACAUCUUCUUUGAAUACCACAUCCCAAUAGCAUAGAGAAGUAGUUCCCCCAAUUUUUUUGUUUAUUGGAGGAUCUUUUAAAAAAAUCCAAGUCCCAGGUUACAUCUCAGAACAAUUAGCCAAAUAACAAUUCCUCUGAGGGAGAAUCAGAGGAAUUUUUAAUUUUUGAAGUUUUCUACAUGAUUCCAAUGGGCAAACAAGCUUGGGAACUAUGGAUUCCCCAAUCUUUCUGUUCACAGAAGAAUCAUCUGAAAUAUUCACUAAAUUAUUAAAAGAGCCUCCAUCCCAGACCUAAGAAUCUGAAUCUUCAAAGCAGAGACACAGUAAUCUGUAUUGUUAAUAAGUGUCCUAGGUAAAUCUCACUAGUAGGCACAUACAGAAAUGAGGUAUUGGCAUUUUGGAUGUACUUCAAUUCAGAUUCUCUUAAUAAUUUAUAAGCUCUUUUUCAAUUUGGGAGAGUGUCUCUUUCAACUUUGUGUUUUCUAAUGUAGUGCUUACAUAUAUUAGGUAUGCAAUAAAUAUUCUUAGCUGAACUGAAUUAAGAAAAAUCAAAGUAAUUAUGAUAAACCCAUUCUGUAAUUAAAACAUUUCCAAUUUGUAUCAAAAAGUGAAGGUGAAACAUUAGUAUCCAAAGUGCAAACCCUUGUACAUAAUCUUAUAUCUGAAAAGUGCUAGCAUUAGCCUCAGCUUUGCCACCAUCAAGUUUCAGGAUCUUGGAAAGUCAUUCAGCUUCUUAGGGCCUCAGUUUCCUUAGUGGUCUAAUGCUGUACAUAAGCACAGAGUUAGGUAACCUCUCUAUAGUUUAUUCACUGCAAAUGCCAAACUAACUCCAAAUUUUAUAAAGUAUGCAUGAGGAGAAACAGAAGCUAUAUUUCUCUCUUUUAAAUUGCCUCCCUUAAUUUUUCUCCCUGAAAACAAUUCCAUUACUUUUCUACAGCCAAACAUUCUUCCCCUUUUAAUGCUGCUCUUUACUAUCUGCAGAUGAAAUGUGCUCAGAGCCUCAAUGCCACUGCCCUUCCCACAGGGGCGACAGCCUCCAGGGCUGCACUCUGCCAUCGGUACAUAUGUUUGUGCUUAUUUUUAUUCUGAGACUUCUCUCUCACUGUCUGGUUUGUGAAUUAUGUGUCUGCUUUCUGUUUCCUGCCAGAAUGUUCCCUCUUCAGCAGUCGGUCAUUUCUCAUCAGUAGAGAUACACAAUCAUCACCCUCAUUGGUAAUCCUCUCACUGUACCAAAUGAAAAACAUAUUUAUUUUUGUUGCUGUAUUUUAACCCCAUCUCUUCUCACUUUACAGUGAAUUUGGUUUUAAAAUUAAGAUGACCAAAAUACAAGAGCAGAUAUAGGAUGGUCUCUGGUCUUCCUACUCAAAAAUUAUAACAGAAAGGAUAGAAAAAUCAGCAAUUAACUGCCAAGUUACUUUUUAUUAAUUAGCUGGAAGAAAAAAAAUGUAUUGAUAUUUAAAAACUCAAUCUCAGCAGACUUGAAUGACUGCAAUACACACACACACAAGGAAUGAAAUAUGUGCUAAUAGGUACAAUUUUUAUAGUCAAUUGAUAAAAUUGAAAUUAUUGUUCCCAUUAUUUUCCAAAUGAAUUCAUACAUUUAAGGAUGAUUUAACUUUUUAACAUUUAGGACAAAAUGUAAUAUUAAAGGAAGUAAUAAAGACCAAAACAUAAGUAACUCCUGAUUUCAAAGUACUUUUAAAAGAAAAAUGUCAUUGGAUUAGAAUCAUGGUACAUAUCUCUUGUUUUUUUUUUUUUUUUUUUUUUUUUUUUUUUUUUUUUUUUUUUUUCAGUGUUGCCUUUGGGAACUGUGAUUGAAAAGGUUAUCCAAAAAAGGAGGUAAACUUUUAUAACUAAAUCUGACCUGGCCUUGGGACCAACACCUGUUUCAUUUCUUCAAUUGAUGGUCUAAAUGUUAGCUAAAGGUCAAAUGUCCAUGAUCAAUUUGUAGGUCAUUCAACUACCUGCAGUCACAAUGAGUCAUAUAAAAA